AGGAUUGUAGUUCUUGCUUCUGCUGUCUGCCCUCUCUAUUGUUCUAGUUUUAUCUUUUCAGUUUUAUUGUUCAUUUACAUAUAUUUCUUAAACACACCUUUGGAUUUUUGCUCUUUGCCUUUGCAUUUUUGCUCUUUGCCUUUGCACACGUGGUUCCUUCAGGAAUGAUCAUUCUCCGAAAAAUGUAGUUGUCAGAGGCCUGCCUCUUGCUAGUCCAGCUCAGAGUUUGCCUUCUGCAUGACUGCUGAUUAGCAUCCAAAACUCUUUUUUAACCUCUCCUUUUUCUAAACUAUAGCACACUGUAUGAGCCUUAAAAGGAUUUAGCAUUUCCUUUAUUUAUCAUUCAAUUUUUGUCUUUCUCCUUCUCAUUUCAGCGUUGUAUAUGAGAAAAUACGUAUAUAAAGCUUCUCAAGGACAAAGCUGGGGUAGGGGUACAGCUAAAGCUACUGAAAGCCCAGCUGCGUUGCAGAGGGCAGGCGAGGUGGAGCAGACGGAGCCUAGCGAGACAGGAGGAUUUGACCACAUCUCUGUUCAACCCAGUUCUCUAGAGAAGGCCCCACCCCUGGACUUUCUCCUGGCAUAUGAUGGAGAACGCUUGACUGAUUGGAGUUGCUGGGUCCCUGUUCAAAAUUAGUUGAGGGUGGCUCCCCUGGUGGCGCAGUGGUUAAGAAUCUGCCUGCCGAGGCAAGGGACACGGGUUCGAGCCCUGGUCCGGGAAGAUCCCACAUU